GGCCCCGUGCUGUCAGUGCAAAGCCUGACUCAGGGCUUGAACCCACAAACCAUGAGAUCAUGACCUGAGCCAAAACCAAGAGCCAGACGCUCAACCAACUGAGCCACCCAGGUGCCCCAGAUUAACAGAGGGCCUUAAUUUAAUGUCGUUAAAUAUUAUCAAUCUUUUUCUUUAUAGUUGUGUUUUCUAAUUCUUAAGAAAUCCUUAUCUCAGGGUCAAAAAUCUAUUCUCCCAUUUGUAUGGUGUAAGGUAGGGAUCCAUUUUUAUUGAUUUUUUUCAUUUAUGUUUAAACAUGCAUAACCAUCCGUUACUGCAAAAUUACUUUUUCUCACCAACCUAUGAUGCCAGCUGUUUUACAAAUCAGGUGUUCCUGGAGGAGCACACCUGUCUCUGCACCCUCCCUUCUGUACCAUUAGUCAUUUUUGUAGCCCCGCACCUACACUGCACUAUCUUAAUUACUAUAACUUUAUAGAGAUUGGUAUUUGGAAGAACAAGAACUGCUGACGUUAUUUUUAAUUGUGUUUUGGCUAUUUUUAGCUUUGUCUUUCCAUAAAAUUGUUAGUAUCAGAUGUUCUAAUAUAUUUUUUAAGUUAGAUUCACAAUUCUCAAGAAAGCAUAUGGUAAAAUUAACCCAGCCUGCCUUUCUUCUCCCAGUUUCCUCUUGUAGAAGUGACCACAGUCAAUAGUUUUUUGUGUAUUUUUCUAGAAAUAAUCUUAAGUUGCCAAAGCUUGUGUGUAUAUCACCCCCCUUUUUGUAGUUGGCUAGUUCAUCAGCAGAGUUUAUUUAAAAAGUAAACAAUUUUCAAUGGAAAAAAACUUUCUUAACAGGUCAUGAUUUAUAAAUACCAAAGAGGUAAUAAAUGUUAAAUUUUGUAUAUUUUUAGUCCUAAAUGAAGUAAUUUUGAGUAGUUUCUGAAAUUACAAAAUGUGUUUUAUAAUUUCUGCUAAUUUUGGUGGAAAAGCGACCAAUUUAGCUUCCCCAACGUUCCUAGCAGAGUUCUGGAUGGGUUUGUGUCUCUUCGGUGCUUCAGGGAAUCACGUUAGAGGCACAGAUUGUUUUUCAAAACAGGAACAUCUGGGUCAGGCUGAAAUCCCUCUUUCAGCAAUAGCUGUGACAGAAAUAACACAUCUAGGAUAUUCGUAGAGAGUUAUGAAUUAUAUUUGGGAUUUCCUGUCAACUCCUAUUGUCCUAUUUGUUCUUUCAUUUUCUCCUUCUGUUGAUUUGUUAGUGUUGCCUUUCUCUGUCUUCUGCUCACCCGAGGAAUAGCAACAUACUUACGGGUGUAUCUGCAUCUGAAGCUGGCCAGUAUCUUCUCCGUGGGUCCUGCGUCACAGAGGCCGCAGGUCACUUAGAGCAAUUACCUCUGCCCCCAUCUAGAAAUUCCCUUAGUGUGAGAGUCUGUGGGUGAAGCACAGUUCUUGUUUGUCUGAAAAGCUCUUUAUUUUACCUUGAUUCUUUAAAUAGUGUAUGUUUUUUUUUCUUCCAGGUUUAGAAUCUAGGGGUUGCCAGUAAUUUCUUUCAUCCUGUGAAGCUGUCCUUCCACAGUUUCCUGGCCUCUACUGAUACUGUGAAGUCAGCGGUGUCACUCCCUCUCCUGUGAAGGUAAAGGCAUUGUCCCUUCUCUUGCUGGAUUACAGUGACCGUCCAGACAGUGCUUAGUAAUAGCGGAUGGCUCUCCCUGACACCCGGCUGUGCCACUGACCAAGGCAGCGCAUGGAGCCUACAGAUGUCACACCUCGCGUCAGCUAACCCAGCCCCCGUGUGCACAGGUACCACGCAUCGUACACUUGCUGCACUCAGAGACUGUCACAGAGCACAGCAGUGCAUGACACAAGGGACUUUUUCAUGUCACACAGCUAGCUCACUCGGUGGCAGUCACCUUUAGGCUAAAGCAUCUGGAUUCCAGGGAAUACUCACGUUAGUUGAUGAUGUUGGAAGGCAUUGGAGGAAAACACCAUAGUUAGGACAGUUAAUGGCUUACACACUGUUGGUAAGACUGAUCUCGAACAUGCGCAAACAUUUAUCAUAGUAACAUGGUGUUGGUUAGUGCCACAUUCAAAUAAAAAUAGUUCUAUACAAUA